AUGCUCGCUUGGGCUGCACAUAUACUAAAAAUUGGAAUGCUACAAAGGAAAUUAGCAUGCCUCUUGCAUAAGGAUGACACACAAAUUUGUGAAGCAUUCCAUUAAAAA
rnacentral:snRNA from 1 species